GUAAUCUAGGUAACCUGGGAUAUCCUGCAGACGAUUACAGAACGUCUGUGGUUAGAGCUGAACCUUCAGAGCUGAAACUGAAAAAAAAAAAAAAAAGUGUUGAGCUGCAGUUCAUCAGUUAAACACUAGAGAACAGAAGAGACACAAGAACAGAAGUUCCAGCUGACGGCUUUAUUUUCCUCAGUAUUCUGAGCAGAGCAGACUGGAACUGACUCACAGCUGUGAAUGGAAGAACAGCUCGCACACAGCACCAGCAGAGUACCGAAGAAGAUAAAAACAUGAAUAAACGAUGAAACUGACAAAAUGCAUCCAAACGUAGCAUGCAAUCACUGAUUACACAAACCUACUUUCCAGAAUAGUUGCAAAAACAAACAAAAAUCUGUGCUUGUCAAUUUGCUUGAUCCUUUAACU